rnacentral:rRNA from 1 species
UACGAAGGGUGCAAGCGUUACUCGGAAUUACUGGGCGUAAAGCGUGCGUAGGUGGUGAGUUAAGUCUGUCGUGAAAGCCCCGGGCUCAACCUGGGAAUGGCGAUGGAUACUGGCUCGCUAGAGUGCGGUAGAGGAGAGUGGAAUUCCCGGUGUAGCAGUGAAAUGCGUAGUGAUCGGGAGGAACAUCAGUUGCGAAGGCGGCUCUCUGGACCAGCACUGACACUGAGGCACGAAAGCGUGGGGAGCAAACAGG